AUGAACGCUGGCGGCGUGCCUAAUACAUGCAAGUCGCGCGAACAGACGAGGAGCUUGCUCCUCUGACGUUAGCGGCGGACGGGUGAGUAACACGUGGAUAACCUACCUAUAAGACUGGGAUAACUUCGGGAAACCGGAGCUAAUACCGGAUAAUAUAUUGAACCGCAUGGUUCAAUAGUGAAAGACGGUUUUGCUGUCACUUAUAGAUGGAUCCGCGCCGCAUUAGCUAGUUGGUAAGGUAACGGCUUACCAAGGCAACGAUGCGUAGCCGACCUGAGAGGGUGAUCGGCCACACUGGAACUGAGACACGGUCCAGACUCCUACGGGAGGCAGCAGUAGGGAAUCUUCCGCAAUGGGCGAAAGCCUGACGCAGCAACGCCGCGUGAGUGAUGAAGGUCUUCGGAUCGUAAAACUCUGUUAUUAGGGAAGAACAAAUGUGUAAGUAACUAUGCACGUCUUGACGGUACCUAAUCAGAAAGCCACGGCUAACUACGUG
rnacentral:rRNA from 1 species